GGAUUUGGUGUCACUGCUAUC
rnacentral:siRNA from 1 species